rnacentral:rRNA from 1 species
UACGGAGGGGGCUAGCGUUGUUCGGAAUUACUGGGCGUAAAGCGCACGUAGGCGGCUUUGUAAGUUAGAGGUGAAAGCCCAGGGCUUAACCCUGGAAUUGCCUUUAAGACUGCAUCGCUAGAAUCGUGGGGAGGUGAGUGGAAUUCCGAGUGUAGAGGUGAAAUUCGUAGAUAUUCGGAAGAACACCAGUGGCGAAGGCGACUCACUGGACACGUAUUGACGCUGAGGUGCGAAAGCGUGGGGAGCAAACAGG